AGGGCUUUUUAUAUUUUAUAUAUUUUUAACUUAAUUAUGUCAUUGUUUGUACCGUGAACUUGGUUAUGCUUGCUAUAUAUUUCUAUCCCUAUUUGAUAUGUCAUUGGUUAUCAGUGUUUUGCUUGCUAUUUUUAUCUUAUUUGACGUGAGAUAAAUCGCUAGAUGGAUAUGGUGCCGUACACGAGCCCUUCUACAUUCCUCAAUGAAACUAGCAAGUUUUCGCCCAUUUAGAGU
rnacentral:lncRNA from 1 species